CCUACGGGUGGCUGCAGUGGGGAAUAUUGGACAAUGGGGGGAACCCUGAUCCAGCCAUGCCGCGUGUGUGAAGAAGGCCCUCGGGUUGUAAAGCACUUUCAGUGAGGAAGAACGCCUGGUGGUUAAUACCCAUCAGGAAAGACAUCACUCACAGAAGAAGCACCGGCUAACUCCGUGCCAGCAGCCGCGGUAAUACGGAGGGUGCGAGCGUUAAUCGGAAUUACUGGGCGUAAAGCGCGCGUAGGUGACUUGAUAAGCCGGUUGUGAAAGCCCCGGGCUCAACCUGGGAACGGCAUCCGGAACUGUCAAGCUAGAGUGCAGGAGAGGAAGGUAGAAUUCCCGGUGUAGCGGUGAAAUGCGUAGAGAUCGGGAGGAAUACCAGUGGCGAAGGCGGCCUUCUGGACUGACACUGACACUGAGGUGCGAAAGCGUGGGUAGCAAACAGGAUUAGAUACCCUAGUAGUC
rnacentral:rRNA from 1 species